rnacentral:rRNA from 1 species
UGCAAGCGAGGUAGGAGAUGAACAGGCAAAUCCGUUCAUCAAUCCGAAGACGUGAUGCGGACCGAAUUAAGAGUAGGGAAGUGUGUGAGCCAUGCGUCAAGAAAAGCCGCUAUUGUUUUACUUAAGCCCGUACCGUAAACCGACACAGGUGGAUGAGGAGAGAAUCCUAAGGCCGACGGGAGAAGCAUUGUUAAGGAACUCGGCAAAAUGACUCCGUAACUUCGGGAGAAGGAGUGCCAGCGAGAGCUGGCCGCAGAGAAUUGGCCCAAGCAACUGUUUAGCAAAAACACAGGUCUAUGCAAAACCGUAAGGUGAAGUAUAUGGGCUGACGCCUGCCCGGUGCUGGAAGGUUAAGAGGAGAGGUUAGCGGCAACGCGAAGCUUUGAAUUUAAGCCCCAGUAAACGGCGGCCGUAACGAUAACGGUCCUAAGGUAGCGAAAUUCCUUGUCGGGUAAGUUCCGACCCGCACGAAAGGCGUAAUGAUUUGGGCACUGUCUCAACAAUGCACCCGGUGAAAUUGAAAUACCAGUGAAGAUGCUGGUUACCUGCGCCAGGACGGAAAGACCCCAUGGAGCUUUACUCCAGCUUGAUACUGGGAUUCGGUAUUGCAUGUACAGGAUAGGUGGGAGGCUAGGAAGUGAUAACGCCAGUUGUCACGGAGCCGCUGUUGGGAUACCACCCUUGCAGUAUUGGAUUUCUAACCAGCGACCAUGAACUGGUCGGGGGACAAUGUCAGGUGGGGAGUUUGACUGGGGCGGUCGCCUCCGAAAGGGUAUCGGAGGCGCUCAAAGGUUCCCUCAGAAUGGACGGAGACCAUUCGAAGAGUGCAAAGGCAGAAGGGAGCUUGACUGCGACACCGACGGGUGGAGCAGGUACGAAAGUAGGACUUAGUGAUCCGGUGGUAUAAAGUGGGAUUGCCAUCGCUCAACGGAUAAAAGCUACCCUGGGAUAACAGGCUUAUCACUCCCAAGAGUUCACAUCGACGGAGUGGUUUGGCACCUCGAUGUCGGCUCAUCGCAUCCUGGGGCUGAAGUAGGUCCCAAGGGUUGGGCUGUUCGCCCAUUAAAGCGGUACGCGAGCUGGGUUCAGAACGUCGUGAGACAGUUCGGUCCCUAUCCGGCGUGGGCGUAGGAUAUUUGAGAGGAGCUGUCCUUAGUACGAGAGGACCGGGAUGGACUGGCCGCUGGUGUAUCUGUUGCAUACCAAAUGCAUGGCAGAGUAGCCAAGCCGGGACGGGAUAAACGCUGAAGGCAUCUAAGCGUGAAGCCCCCCUCAAGAUGAGAUAUCCCUACGUAAGUAGUAAGACCCCUUGAAGACGACGAGGUAGAUAGGUCAGAGGUGGAAGUACAGUAAUGUAUGGAGCUGACUGAUACUAAUCGGUCGAGGGCAUGACU